rnacentral:rRNA from 1 species
AACAGGAUUAGAUACCCUGGUAGUCCACGCCGUAAACGAUGUCGACUUGGAGGUUGUUCCCUUGAGGAGUGGCUUCCGGAGCUAACGCGUUAAGUCGACCGCCUGGGGAGUACGGCCGCAAGGUUAAAACUCAAAUGAAUUGACGGGGGCCCGCACAAGCGGUGGAGCAUGUGGUUUAAUUCGAUGCAACGCGAAGAACCUUACCUACUCUUGACAUCCACGGAAUUCGGCAGAGAUGCCUUAGUGCCUUUGGGAACCGUGAGACAGGUGCUGCAUGGCUGUCGUCAGCUCGUGUUGUGAAAUGUUGGGUUAAGUCCCGCAACGAGCGCAACCCUUAUCCUUUGUUGCCAGCGAUUCGGUCGGGAACUCAAAGGAGACUGCCGGUGAUAAACCGGAGGAAGGUGGGGAUGACGUCAAGUCAUCAUGGCCCUUACGAGUAGGGCUACACACGUGCUACAAUGGCGCAUACAAAGAGAAGCGACCUCGCGAGAGCAAGCGGACCUCAUAAAGUGCGUCGUAGUCCGGAUCGGAGUCUGCAACUCGACUCCGUGAAGUCGGAAUCGCUAGUAAUCGUGGAUCAGAAUGCCACGGUGAAUACGUUCCCGGGCCUUGUACACACCGCCCGUCACACCAUGGGAGUGGGUUGCAAAAGAAGUAGGUAGCUUAACCUUCGGGAGGGCGCUUACCACUUUGUGAUUCAUGACUGGGGUGAAGUCGUAACAAGGUAACC